rnacentral:tRNA from 1 species
GGCCGCGUAGCGCAGAGGCAGUCGCACCACGUCUCCAAAACGUGGAAGACGCCGGUUCGAAUCCGGCCGUGGCCU